rnacentral:sRNA from 1 species
CAAAAACCAUGGUCAAAAUUGCGCCUUCUUCGCCGAUCGCGUAUACUUUUGCCGUUGACGUAAUACAGUGUGUUUGCGGCCACCAACCGGAAAGCGCUGAGCAAAAAACCUCGCCGGGCGGGGUUUUUU